AAAAUAAAAAUAAAAAUAAAACUUAAUGUUGUUUCCUGUUCGAAUCCUUUUGCUUGUCUUCUUUCUAUUAACCAUUUGUGUAAUUCUUUUUCUAGUUACCUUUUCAAACGUCCAUUUCCCAUAUUAAAAAUUUCUUUUCAUAAAAGGGCAGAUGUUUUUUUUUUAAAAAAAAAAAAACUGAAAGGAAGCACAGAAAGUGCCCUUUUUUCUUUUUCUUUUUUUCAUUCACAAAGAAGGUCCUGAUAGUCAGCUUACGCAAUGUGCGUUGACACUGUCAAAUUACAUUUGUUAAGAACAAGGAGACUUGUAAGCAAGUAUUCACACUUAUUUUCCUCUGAUUUAUCUCCCAUCCGAUCCAAGGCUCCAAGUCAUAUUCCAAUCUCCAAAAAUAAGUUUUCUGUUGGCUAUAGCUCUGAUCGAGCGUAGUUAGUUAGUUUUGUGUCUUCGCUUUGCAUUCAAAUUUUGCAAAAGAAUGGUAGAAAACAAUUGUGGGAGAGAGAAGUAGUGAUUACUCAGCUAAUCAAGGGGAAGGAAUUGAUGUUGCAGCUGCAAAAUACUUUGAUCCCAUGAAACAAGACGUAUGCCAGGAUUUGGCUGCGGAAAUACUUUCUUCCUAUGACAAAGCACUGUCCCUCUUGAAUGGCACAACUUUAUCAGGGAUGAUAAGCAAAGGCAAACAGAGUUUUAAUCCAGCGCCAUCUUCAUCAGCUGCGCCCCAGCUGGAAUCUCCUUCUCAUCAUCUUAUGGCUGAUAAUAGCGCAGAAUUGUGACCGUCCCUCUAACUCCCGGAAGAGGAAGAUGCUGGCACGAAAGACAAGAGUACAUACAAGCUCGAUCUGGAGAAGAGGUUCCACCUGAAGAUGGAUACAGUUGGAGGAAAUAUGGACAAAAACUUAUCGUAGGUGCAAAAUAUCCCAGAGAACAUUAUCGAUGUGAUUGUCGUCGUUUAUCUUAUCGUGAGGCUACUAAGAUGGUCCAACGAAGUGAGGCAGAGCCAUUAUCUUUUGAAGUUACCUAUGGAGGAAGUAACAGUUGUGGUCAAGAAAACAAAAACCAAAACGGAGAACAUGUUGUGCUAACAAAAGAAACACAGCGUGAUGAGGUUGGAAGAGCAGCCGGGGAAACACCUGAAUGCUAUACUCCGGAAAUGGUUUCAACACCAAAUACUUCAUUCAACAAUUCGUCCGCAGGGGUUGUGUUCUCAAACUCCAAUCCGGUAUUUAACAUCACCAAUUCCGAUUUAAUCCCCACACCGACUUCUUCACCUUAUCCAGACACGGAUAUUUCACUUGAGGAUGAUAGUCUCACUGUCUUGUUUGAUGAUGUGCCUGAAAAUGCUAGAAGCACCUAUAAGUGCAAUGCAAACUAGAAUUUAUCACUUGAUAAUCUCACUACCUUAUUUGAUGAUGAUGUGCCUCGUGAAAAUGAGAACUGCACCUAUAAAGGUGCCCGCAAGAGUCCUGUGGGAAAAUGGAUCGCUGAAAUCCGCCAUCCCAAGCACGCUAUUCGCAUCUGGCUUGGCACCUAUGAGAAUUCUCACGAUGCUGCUUUGGCUUAUGAUGCUGCCGCCCAAAAACUCUCUGGCGCAGAUACCAAACUUAAUUUUUCCGCAACAUGACCCUAGAAUUCCAGUGCCGAGCAUAAUCUCUUCUGGUAUUGUGACAACCAGCUAUUUCAAGGUCUUGGAUACUCUUUUGAUAUUUUUGUAUUUUCUUUAUUGCAAUUUAUACAACAUAGUUCGAAUUUCAAGAGUCAAACGAAAAAAUCUUAACUCUAGGGGUUUUCAAAUACUCCCUUGGUUUACUUGACCUUGUUGACUUGGCACACUAUUUAAGAAAACUUUAAUUAGGAGUGUAUUUUACUAAAUUAAUAUUGUUUUGAAACUCUAAAUUUGACUAUUAUUACAUUAUGUAGUUAUUUAAUACUAAGGAUAAAAACGAAAAAAAUAUAAUAAUAUUCUUUUGAU